AAGUCGUAACAAGGUUUCCGUAGGUGAACCUGAGGAAGGAUCAUUAUAACACGUAUCCAACGUUAAACAACCCUGUGAACUUUCAGCCUGCUCUUGCAUCCCAUGAGGAACAGCAAUCCCGGUAAAUCAUUGCCAAACAGUUUUAAAGGAGUGUGCAAUUGAGCGGUAGAGGCAAUGGCAUGGCUUCCCCAAGUAGCACUGGCUGCGUAAAGGAUAACGCCUCACGGUUGCUGGAGGUCGAUCACCGACCGGCAGACAUGUCACAGGGUCACCACGCCCCUUAAUAACCCCACUUUUAAAUGCCCCGCCUAGUUAAAAAAACCCGAACAACUGUUAACAAUGGAUAUCUUGGUUCUC
rnacentral:misc_RNA from 1 species